GUUGGGCAUCCGUUCGUCCUAGUGGAGGUGGGACGUGGAUCAGAAUCGCACGUCCUCAUCUGAUCCGUGGCCCUGGUGGGGACAGGCAGGAUCCAGAGUGUUCUUUGGCUACAAGCGGCGGUCAUCUGUGGGAACAGGGGUCUCCGGCGGAGAGAAAAGGAGCAGCGGCGGCGAUCCUACAUGGAGUUUCUGAUGCAACCAUUCAGCAGUGGAUCUUUGCUUGACUGGCGGAUUUGUCGCAAAUCCUACCCGCAUGGCUUUGGUGGCUGAAAGGAUUUGGUUUUGGCUUGAACGAGAUCCAGUGUCCUUGAAGAAGUAGCAGAGAGCUUGGUGUCGGCCCCUGUGCUGAGGGCGCCGGGAGGCGGUAUGCUGGAGGAGCAGGAUAUGGCGGUCAGAACCACUGUCCUUGAGGAACUAGGAGAUUGGUUGAUGCCGGACGCUGUGCUGCCUUGUUCGAGGGGAGAUGGUACGGUAGAAGAGCAGCAAGUGGCGGAGCAGCCAUGAGCGGUGGACAGCGCGGGUGCUCAGGUUUUCGCCGCCACUGAUGCCCUGGUGGGGAGGAGGGAUAGUUCGCCUCCGACGUCAGAGCUGUCAACUAGGAAGAUGAAUCUCCUGGUUGGAACUAGAGUUUAUAUGUGGAGGCUGUUUUUACAGGCUGAGAAUUGGGGCUGCCGCACCGAGCAGAACACCCUGCCCAAAUUAUGUCAGCGCGUUUGAGAAGGCUAGGAGUUAUGCCAACAACCCGGCUGAGAAUGUGAUCACACCAGUGAUUGGCACUACUUUUGACUCUUUGGGUGAGGCUUAUUACUUCUAUAAUUUGUAUUCAUGGGAGAAAGGUUUCGUCAUCCGAUAUGGGAAGAGCCGGCUGAAUCUCAAGAGGACACCCGGGUCUAUCUCGCGCACUACUGGAGGUACUGCAUGGCCUGUACCUUGAGAGGCACAUUGGUGAGUAUGAGCUGGCUUAUCUUAAGAAGCAGAUUGCAUACGAGGUGAUCUCGAUGAAGGGGAACAAGGGUGAGCACCCAAGCUUCAUGAUCGAGGAAGUGCUGUUCCGAAGAAGACCGGAGUGGCUGUCUCAUUAUCUGCUUAGUUAUAUUAUGCAUUUACCAUGAGUUUGCAAAAGACUAGUUAUAUUAUGCAUUUACCAUCAGUGGUUGUCUCAUUAUCUGUUUGCAAAUAGUAAGCUAAAAUGGAUCCUGAAGGUCCAGUACAAAUUAUAUUAUGCAUUUACCAUGAGUGGUUGUUUCAUUA